rnacentral:rRNA from 1 species
GAUGAACGCUGGCGGCGUGCUUAACACAUGCAAGUCUAGCGAAGCACUUAAGAAUGAUUCUUCGGAUGAGCACUUUUGUGACUGAGCGGCGGACUGGUGAGUAACGCGUGGGUAACCUGCCUCAUGCAGGGGGAUAACAGUUAGAAAUGACUGCUAAUACCGCAUAAGCGCACAGUGCCGCAGGGGAUCGUGGGAAAAACUCCGGUGGUAUGGGAUGGACCCGCGUUGGAUUAGGCAGUUGGCGGGGUAACGGCCCACCAAACCGACGAUCCAUAGCCGGCCUGAGAGGGUGGACGGCCACAUUGGGACUGAGACACGACCCAAACUCCUACGGGAGGAAGCAGUGGGGAAUAUUGCACAAUGGGGGAAACCCUGAUGCAGCGACGCCGCGUGAGUGAAGAAGUAAUUCGUUAUGUAAAGCUCUAUCAGCAGGGAAGAAAAUGACGGUCCCUGACUAAGACGCCCCGGCUAACUACGUGCCAGCAGCCGCCGUAA